CAUUUUUCACUCGAAAUUGAUACAAAAUUGAACUCUUUUGAUCUUACUUGCAAAAGGAAAGAACGGUUCUUUUUUGUUCCCCAUCUGCAAUCAAAAACAUUGUUUACUGAUUUCUUUUUAUAUAUUUUCAUAUAUCUGAAUCUAUUCAAUAUAAUCUCAAAUUUUUUCUAGAAUGACAAACAAACAUUUAAAGAUGUUUAUAAGCUUUAAAUAACUAAAGCAUAAACGGUGAAUACCUCGACUCCUAAAUCGAUGAAGACCGUAGCAAACUGCGAUAAUUCACUUGAAUUGCAGCCUACUGGGAUAGUUGAAAUGUUGAACGCACAUGAUGGCAUUGGUCCUUUUGGAUUAAGUGUCAUACUUGGGUGAGAGCGAUCUCUAUAUUUAAUAUUAAAAUUUUAUUAAUUAAAUUUAGGUUUAAUGAACUAAUUUUAAUAUGAAGUUUAUUUAUUUAAACUUUUUUAUAGUUGAUCUACAGUAGUCUUUGCAGUGGUAUAAAGAAUAGUUUUAAACUAAACUUUAAUUAAACCAUUACUAUAUUAUAUGUUUAUAUAAUUUAAACUAUAAUAAUUAUUCAAUUGAAAAUGCGAAUCUUUAUUAAAGUUUAUUCAAGUUAUAUUUACUAAAUAUUAUAAUGGCUCAUUUAUAAUGUUAAUUUAAUUAAAAUUAAAGCUAAUCGAUAUACAUUUAAACACUGAUUAAAGAAGUAACUUAUGAACAUUAAAACGAUAUGUUUAUCAUAUUGGUUCAACAGUUAUAUAUUGUCGCCUCAUCCAAGUAAGAUUACCCGCUGAACUUAA
rnacentral:misc_RNA from 1 species